ACCGCUUCGGCCCUCGCCUAUCCCCCAACGACGAUCCCCAAUUUCAGGCGUCGCCCAUCGCUGGGUGCUUCUCCGCCAUCGCCCGUAUAACCCCACCCAAUCCCUCGCUCGCUCGCCGGGAUCCAAGGCGGCCGCGGCGGCCGGGAGCAGACGUGCACGGGAGGAGUAGUUUGGGUCCGCGCCGCUGCCCUUUGCCUCUGCCACCAACGCCGCCUGCGCCGCCGCCCUUUGCCACCGCCACCAUCGCCAUCCGCGCCGCCGCCCUUUGUCGUCGCCACCACCGCCGUCCCCUUUGCCGCCACCACCACCGUCCAAACCGCUCUCGGCCGUUGCCGGGGAUCCCGGCCGCGCAGCAAAUCCAGCGCAAAGGAUCUCCAGGCCUGCCGCCCUGCCCGGCGCACCCAUCCAGAGGCACAUGUUCUCCACAGAUCCAUUAGAUCCCUUGCCGCCUCUCCUCUUUCCCUCGCUGGAGAAGCCUUUUUCAUCGUGGCUUGCCCUGGAUGCUAGAUUCUGCAAUUCCUCACCUGCAGUAUGGAAGUGCAUCUGCACCUGGGGCGCUAGCUGCUGAUGGCCAUAGAUAACAGCGACGUGUACGAGCAGAAGGCUUUUUCCUGAAGGGAUUGAGAUUACCAGGAUUCAGAUUGGAUCCCUGCUGUGUCAGUGCAGGAGAACUUCUCGAACACGUAAAACGACGGUGGCAUCAGGAUCCAUGAGAGCAGCUUAGGGGUUCUCCGGGGCGGCGCCAUGGUUGCUCCCGCGACGAGGACGCGGCACUCCCCUUCUGGUGCGGCGCACGAGGGAAGGAGGAGGGGAUCGACCCAAGACUGGGGCUGAGGCCGGCAGCGCCGUCCACACGAGCCUCACCGGCGGUGCCCUCUACACCUUCUCGCUCACCCCCGUCACUUUCUCGCUCACCACCGGCGUAGUAGUCAUCCUCGACGCCGUAAGGCACAAAUGGGCAUCCCGGCGGGAGUAGUCAUCCUUGACGCCGUCAGCUCUGUACAAGGCACCAAUCGUAUCUUCGACGGCCACAAGUUCUCCUACUAUGCCUCCGUCGCCUCCGCCAGCAUUGUUUGGCUGGCAAGGUCACGUCACCAGGGACUCCAUAUUCAUCGCCAAAGAACUCCGACUUCAGGAACAGAGUAGCAUGGCGGGGCUAGCAGCGACAAGUAGCAACAGCAGGGACGAGCUCAGGAGGAAUUGAUGCAGAGCAAGCUAGAGAACAUACAAAAAUACAAAGCAAAGCUUCACCGAAGUGCACGAAUUGUUUAAUAAGUACGGUUGCUGCAAUGAAUUAACGACCUAGGAGCUGUUUGGUCACAACGAGGUAAUUCAUUAUUCAGGUUUGUUCACAAUUAUUUAAUUUUCACUGUUUUGGAUCCUGUACUAUGCACAAUAUAAUUUGUAGAAUGUUUUAUCUUUGCAAAUAAGGGAAAUAAUGAUCCAAAAUUGGAGAAGAUGGUCAAAACCAAAUGUUUAUGUGAUUUGAUAUGAUGUACUUAGUAAUUAACUUUCCCUACCUACAUCUUUUAAAAGUGUCUAUAUCAUGUUUUCGUCAGCUCCGGCAUCUUCAAGAGCUUUGUCAUGCCCUAUUAUUUUCAAUUUAGUCUGUGUCCGCAUCAACUGAAUUCGGUCGGUUCAAUUCAAUUCAUCAAUUUUUUGUAUAUUUGAUGCAUUAUUAACCAUAGCAACGCACGGGCAUUUAUUUG